CCUGCAGAGCACUGCCCUUCCUUGAGCUGCAAACGCCGGUCAUGUUGUUGCCUUUUCUCUUCCCGUCAACAUCAAUUAAAUGAGUCACCAAUGAACUCCAUGAGCCACGCGUGACAGUCUUGCCCUUAAUCCAGCCACAGCUGGCAGUUUAAGCUUCUUCGGAGGUCAGAAACCCGAACUUGCUCCAGAUCGACAGAACGUCUGUCCUCCUCCACCGCUCGGGAAGAAGGUCUCCCAUUCAAGGAGCCGAGAUUACAGAAAUUACCCCUGCUAGAUUCUGCCUCCCUGCAGUGGCUGGCCACCACACCACCACAGAGGGUAAUGCAGUCAUUCAGUCCACAGAUUGCAGAAUGUCAGGAAAUGCAUUUCUACAGGGCUUUAUUUGAAUUAAACAACAUCUCAUAUUGCAGACCAUAUAGGGACCCAUCAGUGCCUGCCAACCAUAUCACUACAGAUCUGUCUGUAAUACCUUGGCGCACACGUCUGUCUGUUUUUGCGGAUUAAGGACGACUAUAUUUAAUCACAUUAAACCACAGAGUCACUGGACCAAAGAACGGCAACUGGCACAGUCUUCAGCCCCCAACAGACAGCUGUAUUCUUACAAACGGGCUCAAUUCUACAACAGAAAUCCUGAUAUGGGCACAUGCGUGCUCCUGUUCCAAACUCACGAUCUUCAAGGUGUUGCAGGUUUGAGCUUGUGUCAUGUCACUAGCUGACCGUGACUGGGCUUCCAUAGGCAGGAUGGCUGAAGAUGGAAACAGUCAGCCAGGACUUCCUAGGCUGUGGACAAACAACAACCUUUGCAGCUUCCUAGGCUCUUGCGAACACACAGUGCCCUGGAUGGGGGACGCAACUCUCCUCCCAUCGGAUGGAGCCUCCAGAACAGGUCUGCGUUCACAUGUGAUGUGUUGUAAGACAAGUGGCUCGAAGGUGGGCAGCUCAGAAACUGGAAAGAGACCAUGACCUUUUCACCUGAACUGCAGAGCACACUGGCCUUUCCCAUGAUGAGGAGCAGGACUGAAAGUACCAGCACUAUUCCCUCAGAGGAACUUCUCGAGCAGGCGCUGCAAUAAAAACCCAGCGCCUGUCAGAAAAGUUAAAAACAAGAGAGAUCCCAGGAAGCCAUGCGACUGCACAGGGCAGCCAUGACAGAGAACUGCCUCGUGUCUUCAGUCUUCACUGCACCUGUACUCUACAACAAAGAACAGUGAGCUUAUCCUUAACCACAGAGAUGUGCGACUAUGGAACAAGCAACUCAGCCACGCAUUUCAAGCCAAAACCCUGGUUUCUUCCAAGAAACUGCUGAAUGAGUUAACCAAUAAACCACCACCAAACAG